AAACGACUCUCGGCAACGGAUAUCUCGGCUCUCGCAUCGAUGAAGAACGUAGCGAAAUGCGAUACUUGGUGUGAAUUGCAGAAUCCCGCGAACCAUCGAGUCUUUGAACGCAAGUUGCGCCCGAAGCCAUUAGGUUGAGGGCACGCCUGCCUGGGCGUCUCACG
rnacentral:rRNA from 4 species